rnacentral:lncRNA from 1 species
AAAAAAUAGAUUUAAAAUUUUGACAUUAUUUCAAAAUUUUGAUGUAAAUUUUUAAUAUUUAAUAUUUAAUUUGAAUUUAAAUUAAUAUAUUAUAAAGAUAAUGUUAGUAUAUUAAUUUGAUUACAUUUUUUAUAUCUACCUGAACCAAACACCGACAAUGGGAAUGAUUUAUUCCGAUUCCGAUUCAGGUGAUGAACCAAACAAAAUUAGGUAAUGAGUCAUUCCGAUUCCGAUUCCAGCUUAUUUUGAUUCCGAUUCCGAUUUUGAUUCCGACUUCGAACCAAACACGCCCAAAAAUCACACUUUGCGAAAAAGCAUCAAGUGAUACAAAAUAAACAGUGCAAUUAACUAAGCAGGUUAUUAAUUUUAAGCUAAAUUACAGAAAAUUUUCAUGUCAAAAGUCAAUUUUUCACUUUCUCUCCCUGUCAUUUAAAAACCUACACUUUGUUUCCUUGUAAAAUAAAAAAUGUUCACUUCACCCCCUACCGUUAGUGAUCCGUUAGGGUUCCGUUAUAAAAUAUUUUUUUAUGCCAAAAAUACCUUCCGCCCUCUCUACUGUUGCUUCCCCCUCCUCCGCCUCGUCCUCCUCCACUGCUAUGCCCUCGCCCACAUCUCCGUCCGAGUCAAAAAAUACCCCCUCUCCCUCCUCCGCCGCCUCGCCUUCACCCUCGUUGCCCUUGCAAACCUCUCCAUCCACGCCCACCUCGAUUUCCUCUCUACUGUCGUCGAAAUGAAGGGGCGAUGAGGGUGCAGGAGGAGAAAGGGAAUAUGUGGAGAAGAAAAUGGAGAGGAACUGCGGCUAGUCGAGGCGCGAACCCCGGUCGAGUCAUUUUGUCAUCACAGUUCACACCGUACCUCUUCUGUGAAUAUUUUUUAUUUUACAAUAGGGCAAAGUGUAGACUUUUAAAUGACAGAAAAAAAUAAAAAAUUAGACAUUGACAGAAAAAUUUUAUGUAAUUUAGCCUUAAUUUUAUGACAUCUAUGAUAAAAUUUAGGAGUGUUGUGUAUGAAAUGC